rnacentral:rRNA from 1 species
GACGAACGCUGGCGGCGUGCUUAACACAUGCAAGUCGAACGGAAAGGCCCUGCUUUUGUGGGGUGCUCGAGUGGCGAACGGGUGAGUAACACGUGAGUAACCUGCCCUUGACUUUGGGAUAACUUCAGGAAACUGGGGCUAAUACCGGAUAGGAGCUCCUGCUGCAUGGGGGGGGUUGGAAAGUUUCGGCGGUUUGGGAUGGACUCGCGGCUUAUCAGCUUGUUGGUGGGGUAGUGGCUUACCAAGGCUUUGACGGGUAGCCGGCCUGAGAGGGUGACCGGCCACAUUGGGCCUGGGGUGCGGCCCGGACGCCUUCGUGCGGCAGCAGUGGGGACUAUUGCACAAUGGGCGGCAGCCUGAUGCAGCAACGCCGCGUGCGGGAUGACGGCCUUCGGGUUGUAAACCGCUUUCGCCUGUGACGAAGCGUGAGUGACGGUAAUGGGCAAAGAAGCACCGGCUACCUACGU